rnacentral:tRNA from 1 species
GCCUUUGGUGUAAUGGUCAGCACACUCGGCGCUAUUCGAGAGGUCCGUGGUUCGAGUCCCGGCGAGGGCA